GACGAACGCUGGCGGCGUGCCUAAUACAUGCAAGUCGAACGCAGUGGGGACGGGUGAGUAACACGUGGGUAACCUCCCAUCAGAGGGGAUAACACUUGGAAACAGGUGCUAAACCGAUACUGAUGGAUGGACCCGCGGUGCAUUAGCUAGUUGGUGAGGUAACGGCUCACCUAGGCGACGAUCCAUAGCUGGUCUGAGAGGAUGAUCAGCCACACUGGGACUGAGACACGGUCCAGACUCCUACGGGAGGCAGCAGUGGGGAAUAUUGCACAAUGGGCGCAAGCCUGAUGCAGCCAUGCCGCGUGUAUGAAGAAGGCCUUAGGGUUGUAAAGUACUGUCAGUAGGGAGGCGUUACCUACACAAGAAGCACCGGCUAACUCCGUGCCAGCAGCCGCGGUAAUUC
rnacentral:rRNA from 1 species